GCCGGGUGAGGUGGUGCGUGCCUGUAGUCCCAACUACUCGGGAGGCUGAAGCUGGAGGGUCGCCUGAGCCCAGGAGUUCUGGGCUGUAGUGCACUAUGCCCAUCAGGUGUCCUCACUAAGUUCGGCAUCAAUAUGGUGACCUCCCUGGAGUGGGGGACCACCAGAUUGCCUGAGGAGGGGUUAACUGGCCCAGGUCGGAAAUGGAGCAGGUCAAAACUCCCGUGCUGAUCAGUAGUGGGAUCCCGCCUGUGAAUAGCCACUGCACUCCAGCCUGGGCAACAUAGCGAGACCCUGUCUCU
rnacentral:SRP_RNA from 1 species